UAGGGGGCGUUUUCUUCCCGUGUCUUAUUUUUAGCACGUGUCACAUCGAAUGUUUAGAUACUAAUUAGGAGUAGUAAACGUAGACUAUUUACAAAACCAAUUACAUAAGUGGAAUCUAAACGGCGAGACGAAUCUAUUAAGCCUAAUUAAGCCUAAUUAAUCCAUCAUUAGCAAAUAUUUACUGUAGCAACACAUUGUCAAAUCAUGGACUAAUUAAGCUUAAUAGAUUCGUCUCGCCGUUUAGAUUCGUCUUAUGUAAUGGGUUUUGUAAAUAGUCUACAUUUAAUACUCCUAAUUAGUAUCUAAACAUUCGAUGUGACAGGUGCUAAAGUUUAGCAAGCGGAAGAAAACAGGCCCAU
rnacentral:lncRNA from 1 species